GGGGAUAGAGAUCAAUGGUAGAGCGCAUGCUUUGCUUGUAUGAAGUCCUGGGUUCAAUCCCCAGCAUCUCCA
rfam:Gasterosteus aculeatus cont1.009815, whole genome shotgun sequence.